AUGCAUGGACUAGCGUAGCCACCAACACAACCAGGCUCCAGAACUGCUCCAUCGCUCCAGAGAACAGCUCCCUGGGUCCUGUGUGGCCACACCUUCCUUCGCCCUUAAGUGAAGAGUUGGAGCCGGGUCUUCACAGAGAAAAGCAAACUCAGGCCUUGAGAAUGGAGAACUUGUGGGUGAAGAUCCAGGAGGCCGGGAGAGACAUGGUCCAACCUCAACUGAGGACUGAAUCAGAACAGCAGGCCACGUCCUCUCGCCGGCCAGAGCCAAGCAAUGGCCUGGAAGGUGGGGUGCAGGACUCUGAGGCGCGCCUCGGGGUUCAAUUUAAGAGUACAAUGCUGGAUAGCGACGCCUGGACACAAGUGAGUGGGGAGGUGGCCCGUGGGCUGGAGUGUUGCCAUCAGGGCUGGGUGGCCUCUUGGAGGGUGAGGAAGAACUCGGGAAGGGGAGGGAGAUGUCCAAACCCCAAUCAGGCCCCCACAUGUAUCGGGUGUUAGAUCUGAGAUACUCCACCUUUGAAAUGCUCGUAUCAUUUGUCUUUAUUUAGUUGUGCUCAGAUAUGACAAAAGCCAUGACUUACUUACUUUCUUUUUUUUUUUUUGAUAAAAAUACAUAAAAUCAGGGCUGGGGAUGGGGCUCAGUGGCAGAGCUCUUGCCUAGCAAGUGUGAGGCUCUGGUUCAAUCCUCAGCACCACGUAUAAAUAAGUAAGUAAGUAAGUAAAUAAUAAAUAAACAUGUUGUGUCCAUCUAUAACUAAAAAAAAAAAUUUAAAAAUGCAAAAAAUCUUGAGGAGACAGAAAAUUAAAAUACAAGAAAGAUCAGAGAAAUUUUACCUGUCUGGGUGUUCACCUUAGUUCUGGGAAAUCCCAGGCUGCUUUGAAGUUGGCACAGGGUUCACACACACAGUACCGAGAGGAACGGGGUUAGCUGUCCAACAGAAAGUAGGAAACAGCUUGCCCCAGCCGCAGGAGACCAGCAAGGACAUCGACGAGGGAAUCAUCUCAGGGGCCGAGGGAAUUGUUCUGGGUUCUGACUGUGGGGUGGCCACACAGUUCUCAAAGUUCACUGAAACUCAGACACUGUACACUCAAAUACAAGGGCAAUCAUGAAGAAACCCUAAAACCCACUUCGUCGUCACUGUGAUGGGCUAGAACUUUCCCAAAAGGUGGUCCACACAGCUGGCUGCUCAAAGGAUGAUGUAAGCCCCACGAGGAUGAACACUGGGAUCCUACAAAUUGUGUAUCUAUUUCAGCUCAUAUGAGAAGGAUGUAUAACCGGUUUACCAAGUCUAUAGUUUCAAGAGGAUAAUUGCAUACUGUUAAGCUAAGUAAAAAUGUGAGUUGCUUUAAGGGAAAAUAUUAAGUAAAUAAUUGACAGGGCUGCAUAGAUGUUGCAUAUGUGUGGUGGGAUUUUUUUUUUUUUUACUAAGAUAUGGAAUCAAGUUGGAAAAAUACUUUUGAAAAGCCCUGUCCUCAGGGAGCUUACAAUCUAGCAAGUGCAGGAAAACUUAGGGCCAUGACAAAUUUAAUGCACUAAUUUAAAAAACAGUUACCAAGAGAAAUGUAUUAGUGCUACUGAACCAUAUACUGAAAAAUAGCUAAAAUGACUAAUUUUAUGUUAUAUAUGUGUGUAUAUAUAUUGUAUAUAUAUUUUUAUUGUAGCAAAUAUAUAUAUGUGUACACAUACACACACACACGCUCAUGUGCGCGCAUAAACAUAUUGCUACAAUAAGAAACAAAUUACCAAAUAUGUAUAAGAAUUAUGCCAAGGUGGGCAUGGUGGUAUAUGUCUAUAAUCCCAGCAACUCAGGAGGCUGAGACAGGAGGAUCAUAAGUUCAAGUCCAGUCCCAAAACUUAGUGAGGCCCUAUCUCAAAAUAAAAAGGGCUGGGGAUGUGGCUCAGUGGGUAAGUGUUCCUGUGUUCAAUCCCCUAAUAAAAAAAAAAUGAUGUCAGUUUUGUAAAGUCAUGCACACGUCUUAUAUACAGAAAAUUGGUUUUCUUUGAAUGAUAAAAUUA
rnacentral:lncRNA from 1 species